rnacentral:rRNA from 1 species
GAUGAACGCUGGCGGCGUGCCUAAUACAUGCAAGUCGAGCGAACGGACGAGAAGCUUGCUUUUCUGAUGUUAGCGGCGGACGGGUGAGUAACACGUGGAUAACCUACCUAUAAGACUGGAAUAACUUCGGGAAACCGGAGCUAAUACCGGAUAAUAUUUUGAACCGCAUGGUUCAAAAGUGAAAGACGGUCUUGCUGUCACUUAUAGAUGGAUCCGCGCUGCAUUAGCUAGUUGGUAAGGUAACGGCUUACCAAGGCAACGAUGCAUAGCCGACCUGGGAGGGUGAUCGGCCACACUGGAACUGAGACACGGUCCAGACUCCUACGGGAGGCAGCAGUAGGGAAUCUUCCGCAAUGGGCGAAAGCCUGACGGAGCAACGCCGCGUGAGUGAUGAAGGUCUUCGGAUCGUAAAACUCUGUUAUUAGGGAAGAACAUAUGUGUAAGUAACUGUGCACAUCUUGACGGUACCUAAUCAGAAAGCCACGGCUAACUACGUG